CUAUCAUACACACAGUUUCAUCUUCUUCUCCGAGAAACAUAAUAACAAAAAUUUUCCCAAAUCCAGUGACCUAGUCGCUACUCUCCCAUGCAUGCACUAGCUCUCAUUCUCUUCCCGGCGCAACAAUCCAGAUCCAGAUCCUCAAAUUCACACAUAUCAGCCAUCUCGCCGUCGCAAUCUCCUUUGUCUUCGUCGUCUCCACUUAUACAUAUCUAAUUCUCGAUGUUCUCCAGUUUCAUUUGUUAGAUCUGUAAGGUAAAUGAGUAGAAACUCAUCAGGAAGAACAAAUCAAUGGCCAAAAGAAAUUUAGGUGAAAUCAGAUGUGUUGCUGAGUAUGGCUUCUAGACUUAGCAAAUCAGUAGUGUUUUACUACAUUGGUGCCAUGUCUAUUGGGAUUAUCAUUCUUCUAACUCGUUAUCAUUAAACAGGGGAUAACGCCUCUCCCAGCUGGAGGGAAGAGUCGCCUUGACUUAUUUUUUUCAACAAGAACUUGAAGAAUGUGAAAGUGAUGAAGUAAAUAGACUUUAGAUCCAAGGAUAUGAUGUCCUCUCUAUCAUGUUUGCGUGUUGAUGAUGAAGGAGAAGAAGUUUCAAAGUUUGGAGGUCCAAUGAGUGUGAAGAAUUCACGAAAUUUUAAAUACAAGAGUUGUAUGAAACUAUCUUUUAAUUUGUAUUUUUAUUUGGUAAUAUAUAUGUCUU